UACGUAGGCAGCAAGCGUUGUUCGGAGUUACUGGGCGUAAAGAGUAUGUAGGCGGUUGCGUAAGUCCUGUGUGAAAUCCCCCGGCUCAACUGGGGAACUGCACAGGAAACUAGCGGGCUUGAGUUCGGGAGAGGGAAGCGGAAUUCCGGGUGUAGCGGUGAAAUGCGUAGAUAUCAGGAGGAACACCGGUGGCGAAGGCGGGUCUCUGGGCCAAUACUGACGCUGAGGAGCGAAAGCGUGGGGAGCGAUCCGG
rnacentral:rRNA from 1 species